AUGAUUACGAAGUGAGUAGAAAUAUGUUUCAACACAAUAAUUUUAAUAAUAAAAUAUCAUAAAUGUUCGGAUUUUAUAUCAAGUGUAUGCACGAUUUACUUUAUUGAGGUUGACCAUUGGAGCUAAAAGCUAGUAAAAAGAAGAGAUUGCUAACUCUUUUAUACUACUAAUACUUUGGAGUAUGCCGAAAAGACAGCCAUAAAGCUUAGCAUAUUUCGAUUUUAUUGAUGGAAUUAAAGACGUGAGAAAUAUUUCAAAGUGUCUGCAAAACAUUGUUAUAAAAAAUUUUGCACAGCAAAUGUAUAUGCUCAACGUUAUUUGAUUAGGACCUGAGUCAAGUUUUGAAAGUAAACUAAUGUAUGCUUAUAACAAAAAUUCCAUUAAGCUUCAACAAGACAUUAAUGUUGUGCAAGUUUUAACCAAUAAUAUCCUCCUCUUGUCCUUCUAAAGAACUAAAAUUUAAAUCUACUUGAACAUUAAAAUGUUUAAUUUAGCAUGACAUUCUUCUAUUGCAAAGCUGUAUGAUUGUAUAUCAGCUCACUUCUUAAACGUGGAUAGAAUACCUCUGUUGUUAAUGAUAUAAGGUGUGAAAUUUCCGUAAAAAUUAAAAUUAACAAGUUAGAUAUUAGUAAAUAAAAUGUUGCUUAUGAAAAAGAACUAACUAAACACUAA